AACUUGACCUGAUAUCUUUACGGUCCUUGCAUAUACCGCCCGGCAGGCAAUUGACGUUUCAUACUAGGGCGAGGGGUGUUGAAACACAUGGAAGAGCAGCAAGAAACACGGACGAGCGCUGAUGAACUGCAACUGUGUGCGUGCAACAGCACCAAACGGCAUGUGACGACGUACAGUGUGUGUAAUUUUAGGCAGCGAAGAUGGAUCGAGGUUAUGUUUACAAAGUGAAAGAGUUUGAUGCAGAAGUGUCUUUGUGAUAAACAUGUAUUUUAGUUGCAUAUUUUCAGUGUUAAAGUUUGUAAUGUGAACUUAAAAGUAAUGACCAAUGGUGCUAUUCACUUGUAUGCUGUUGGCGAAUAUUGAAGCUUCCUAUUAGUUUGUUGUGCUUAGUGUGAAGCAAAAAUGUGUGCUAAAGUGUUAUAAAUUAGAAAUAUUUAUACGUAUCCGUCUAAUGUUCGGUUGUACCCAUCUUAUUUUCCAUAUUUUUGGAUGUCCUUAUCGUUUACCAGGAGAAAAUGAUAGAUGGAGGUUAGAUACGUGCAGCUAUUUGCCUCCGCAGGAAGAUUUCUUAUCCUUAUUUUUGUUUACUACAACCUUGCAUCGUCGGCGCGGGCCUUAUGGAAACUGCGCGGUCACAGCAACAACCGGAUGAGCAUUUCGUUUCAGGUGGAAAUUAUAUCAAGUUUGGGAAUUGAAGAGAGUUACGGCACACUGCGAACAUCGUUGUAAACAAUCGAUAGUAACAUUUAUAUAGAGCUUAUGAAUGCAUGUGUUUAUCUAAUUAUUCAUUAAUUCGUUUAUUUAUUAAUUUGAGCAUUAGUGCUCCAUCGACAUAUGUUUUUGUUGUUCUUUUAAGUAAAUUGCUCCAACAGCUUAUCCCGGCCUUUCUCGGGUUUAGUUGAUGUUGCUUGACCGCGACGAUUGACACCAGAGUUUGUUAUGGUCGUAUUUUCGUCGUGUAAUCGUGUUAUUGCUGUUAACGCAUUUUGUUUAUAUCUAUUAAGAUGCAAUAGCAUUUUUUAUUUUCCGGAAUAUCGUUAGCGUUGUUCCUCCUCGGUCAAACGGUUGACAGUGGGCAAUAAAGUACAAUAAAUGAUAGGAGCAAAAACGCGAUGGCUGUUAGUGAUUUGCAAAAUGAAACCAACAGCCAUUUUACAUUUUUUAUCUUAAACAAGAAUUGCCCCUGAAAGCUACCAAAGCAAAUGUGUAUUACGUACCACUAGCUGUGUGAUAGGUACAAUAAAAGGUACAAUUUCAUUUUCAUUUAAUUUGUAAAAUUAGAAAAGAUUAGAUAAAAGGUGAUUGAUAAAUAUAGUAUCAAUAGGACAUUACGAUUCAUAAAAAUGGAAAAGCAAUGUGUUUAUCAAUAAAUAAUUUGUCAUAUAUAAACAGCAACUAUAAAUAGGUAGAGCAAUUUAACAAAAUAAAUAAAUGUUUAUUUCUUCCUUCUAUGGCAGCUUGUUUUAACAUUUCCCUGCAUGUUUACUCUUGCCGGUGCAUGUGUUAAUUUUCUUUUAAAACAUUCUUUAUAACAUUCUAUAUCUACGUCUAUUCCCACGUGGUUUGUGGCGAUAAACUUAAAUAAGCACUGUAUUUGGAUAGUUACUAAAAGCUUUUUUUUCCUGACGAUCUUUCCCAGCUACACCGUGCAAGAAAAGUCCUAUCAAACAUCCCGUCUAAAGCCUCCUGUUGUUGGCAUCCUGGCUGCUGAUAUCUGCAUCUAUUAUUUAAGUAUAACUGCAAAAUGCAAAAUCAUCUCCAGCUAUUUUUGCUAAAAAUGCCUCAAACUGUUGUUCAUUUCCGAUUUUUUUAGAUUGCUAAACUCUCCGCAUUUCUUCUUAUACCCUUCAUAGGGUUCAGUAUUGUAGACUGCUCAUUUUAAAUCACCAUUAUCUGUGCGCUGCGUGCAUCUAUUUUCAUCAACAGCAUCUGACAACGAAGGCAGCAGCUUCCAGAAUACUCUGUAGAGGUAAUUGAAAGGACUGCUUGAUUUGCUCAUGCUGCAGCCUGGUGUUCAUCGUCGGUGAUCAUCAUUAUUUGCGACGAAGGCAGCACAGGCAAAUUUAUUAUAACAGGACCAUUUGCUCGUUCAGUCGUUAUGUACGAUGUACCGGCGCUUGUCGAUGACACUUGGUUACCACCAUCAAGUAUCUUGCCUGGCGGACGGAUGCGGCUAGGAACACAGAUCCUCCAGCAUCCGCUAUCACCGAUGCAGAAGCACUGGUGGUUUAUUGUUGACUUACAACAGCGGUCAUCAUACCACGCUGAUUCUUCGGAGCAUGAACUUCGGCAAGCGAUGCAAUCGAUGGUACUGCAGAUCCCGUCAAUGCCUGUUGUCUACCGAUCUUCAUGCCUGAUUCCUGCGGUAGAGCAUCAGCACCCGGUACCACUGAUGGCGCAGCAGUACUAGUUGACGGUUGCUGUCCAUGUUGCUGGCCUAACGGACGGAAUGGUGCAGGAACACCAGCUGUGCUGUGAGAAUUACAGCUGCCGUACGAAGCGCAGCAUAUUGGAGCAAGCCCAAGCGUACAGCAACCACCUGGAGCAAACGUACGCCGAACGAAUGGACGUGGUAGACGCGUUAUGAUUGCAAGGCGAUACUUGCGCUCUGAAAAUGCUAGCACAGAUGUUUGGGCCACAGAGUUUCAGAUAAACCGUUCUCAUCAAUGCCACACCAUGUACGGUCGGUUAGUUACACUUCAUCACGAAGGACAAUCACGUCUGGGUAACGGAAUGCUGCCAAAACGAUGAAGCUGGCUUAGUCCUCGAUGACGACAACCAAUUGUUUGAACAUGUUUAAUGAAACAAACAUGUUGUUUUGGUUUCUCAUAAUUAAUGGUGAAUGCUGCAAAUAUCCGUGAUAAACGUUUUCGUGCGCUGAAUAAGGUUUGUAUGAAAAAUAGUGUAUUUUUAGAACAAUUAAUUUUCAAUAAAGUAA